CGUUGAAACACCAGUUUCCGUACGAUUACCAACUUUAAGCAACGUCGAGCCUUGUCAGUACCUAGAUGGGUAACCGCUUGGGAACAGCAAGUGCUGUAAG